AUUGAACGCUGGCGGCAUGCCUUACACAUGCAAGUCGAACGGCAGCACGGGAGCAAUCCUGGUGGCGAGUGGCGAACGGGUGAGUAAUAUAUCGGAACGUGCCCAGUCGUGGGGGAUAACGCAGCGAAAGCUGUGCUAAUACCGCAUACGAUCUACGGAUGAAAGCGGGGGAUCGCAAGACCUCGCGCGAUUGGAGCGGCCGAUAUCAGAUUAGCUAGUUGGUGGGGUAAAGGCCCACCAAGGCGACGAUCUGUAGCUGGUCUGAGAGGACGACCAGCCACACUGGAACUGAGACACGGUCCAGACUCCUACGGGAGGCAGCAGUGGGGAAUUUUGGACAAUGGGCGCAAGCCUGAUCCAGCAAUGCCGCGUGCAGGAUGAAGGCCUUCGGGUUGUAAACUGCUUUUGUACGAAACGAAACGGCCCUUUCUAAUACAGGGGGCUAAUGACGGUACCGUAAGAAUAAGCACCGGCUAACUACGUGCCAGCAGCCGCCGUAAAAC
rnacentral:rRNA from 1 species